GACGAACGCUGGCGGUGUGCUUAACACAUGCAAGUCGAACGGUAAGGCCCUUUCGGGGGUACACGAGUGGCGAACGGGUGAGUAACACGUGAGUAACCUGCCCUCAUCUCUGGGAUAACAGUCGGAAACGGUUGCUAAUACUGGAUAUGAGCUUGCAAGGCAUCUUGUGGGUUGGAAAGAUUUUUUUGGUUGGGGAUGGACUCGCGGCCUAUCAGCUUGUUGGUGAGGUAGUGGCUCACCAAGGCUUCGACGGGUAGCCGGCCUGAGAGGGCGACCGGCCACAUUGGGACUGAGAUACGGCCCAAACUCCUACGGGAGGCAGCAGUGGGGAAUAUUGCACAAUGGACGGAAGUCUGAUGCAGCAACGCCGCGUGCGGGAUGACGGCCUUCGGGUUGUAAACAGCUUUCAAUUGUGACGAAGCUUUUUUGUGACGGUAGCAGUAGAAGAAGCACCGGCUAACUACGUG
rnacentral:rRNA from 1 species